rnacentral:rRNA from 1 species
GACGAACGCUGGCGGCGUGCUUAACACAUGCAAGUCGAACGGAAAGGCCCUGCUUUUGUGGGGUGCUCGAGUGGCGAACGGGUGAGUAACACGUGAGUAACCUGCCCUUGACUUUGGGAUAACUUCAGGAAACUGGGGCUAAUACCGGAUAGGAGCUCCUGCUGCAUGGUGGGGGUUGGAAAGUUUCGGCGGUUGGGGAUGGACUCGCGGCUUAUCAGCUUGUUGGUGGGGUAGUGGCUUACCAAGGCUUUGACGGGCAGCCGGCCUGAGAGGGUGACCGGCCACAUUGGGACUGAGAUACGGCCCAGACUCCUACGGGAGGCAGCAGUGGGGAAUAUUGCACAAUGGGCGGAAGCCUGAUGCAGCAACGCCGCGUGCGGGAUGACGGCCUUCGGGUUGUAAACCGCUUUCGCCUGUGACGAAGCGUGAGUGACGGUAAUGGGUAAAGAAGCACCGGCUAACUACGU